UCGCACGAGUUCAGACUCGUGGCGAAUAGCUCAGUAACACGUGGCCAAACUACCCUUCGGAACACAAUACCCUCGGGAAACUGAGGCUAAUAGUGUAUACCGUACCACCACUGGAAUGAGUGGUACGCCAAACGCUCCGGCGCCGAAGGAUGUGGCUGCGGCCGAUUAGGUAGACGGUGGGGUAACGGCCCACCGUGCCAAUAAUCGGUAUGGGUCAUGAGAGUGAGAACCCAGAGACGGAAUCUGAGACAAGAUUCCGGGCCCUACGGGGCGCAGCAGGCGCGAAACCUUUACACUGCACGACAGUGCGAUAGGGGGAUCCCAAGUGCACAGGCAUAGCGCCUGUGCUUUUCGGUACCCUAAGGCGGUACCAGAAUAAGGGCUGGGCAAGACCGGUGCCAGCCGCCGCGGUAAUACCGGCAGCCCAAGUGAUGGCCGAUCUUAUUGGGCCUAAAGCGUCCGUAGCUGGCCGCGCAAGUCCAUCGGGAAAUCCACCUGCUCAACAGGUGGGCGCCCG
rnacentral:rRNA from 1 species